UACGAAGGGGGCUAGCGUUUUUCGGAAUCACUGGGCGUAAAGCGCACGUAGGCGGAUUUUUAAGUCAGGGGUGAAAUCCCGAGGCUCAACCUCGGAACUGCCUUUGAUACUGGAGAUCUUGAGUCCGGAAGAGGUAAGUGGAGCUGCGAGUGUAGAGGUGAAAUUCGUAGAUAUUCGCAAGAACACCAGUGGCGAAGGCGGCUUACUGGUCCGGAACUGACGCUGAGGUGCGAAAGCGUGGGGAGCAAACAGG
rnacentral:rRNA from 1 species